rnacentral:rRNA from 1 species
UACGUGGGGUGCGAGCGUUGUCCGGAAUCACUGGGCGUAAAGGGCGCGUAGGCGGUUUGAUAAGGGUGUGGUGAAAGUCCGGGGCUCAACCCCGGAUCUGCCGUGCCGACUGUCAAACUCGAGGACUGUAGAGGCAGACGGAAUUCCGGGUGUAGCGGUGGAAUGCGUAGAGAUCCGGAGGAAGACCGGUGGCGAAGGCGGUCUGCUGGGCAGUUUCUGACACUGAGGCGCGACAGCGUGGGGAGCAAACAGG